rnacentral:rRNA from 1 species
UGGGGAAUUUUGGACAAUGGGGGAAACCCUGAUCCAGCCAUCCCGCGUGUGCGAUGAAGGCCUUCGGGUUGUAAAGCACUUUUGGCAGGAAAGAAACGUCAUGGGUUAAUACCCCGUGAAACUGACGGUAUCUGCAGAAUAAGCACCGGCUAACUACGUGCCAGCAGCCGCGGUAAUACGUAGGGUGCAAGCGUUAAUCGGAAUUACUGGGCGUAAAGCGUGCGCAGGCGGUUCGGAAAGAAAGAUGUGAAAUCCCAGAGCUAAACUUUGGAACUGCAUUUUUAACUACCGAGCUAGAGUGUGUCAGAGGGAGGUGGAAUUCCGCGUGUAGCAGUGAAAUGCGUAGAUAUGCAGAGGAACACCGAUGGCGAAGGCAGCCUCCUGGGUUAACACUGACGCUCAUGCACGAAAGCGUGGGGAGCAAACAGG